rnacentral:tRNA from 1 species
GCCCAGGUGGCGAAAUUGGUAGACGCGCCAGCUUGAGGGGCUGGUGGGAAUUAUUCUCCCGUGGAGGUUCGAGUCCUCUCCUGGGCA